AUGCAGUCGAGCGAACAGACGAGGAGCUUGCUCCUCUGACGUUAGCGGCGGACGGGUGAGUAACACGUGGAUAACCUACCUAUAAGACUGGGAUAACUUCGGGAAACCGGAGCUAAUACCGGAUAAUAUAUUGAACCGCAUGGUUCAAUAGUGAAAGACGGUUUUGCUGUCACUUAUAGAUGGAUCCGCGCCGCAUUAGCUAGUUGGUAAGGUAACGGCUUACCAAGGCAACGAUGCGUAGCCGACCUGAGAGGGUGAUCGGCCACACUGGAACUGAGACACGGUCCAGACUCCUACGGGAGGCAGCAGUAGGGAAUCUUCCGCAAUGGGCGAAAGCCUGACGGAGCAACGCCGCGUGAGUGAUGAAGGUCUUCGGAUCGUAAAACUCUGUUAUUAGGGAAGAACAAAUGUGUAAGUAACUAUGCACGUCUUGACGGUACCUAAUCAGAAAGCCACGGCUAACUACGUGCCAGCAGCCGCGGUAAUACGUAGGUGGCAAGCGUUAUCCGGAAUUAUUGGGCGUAAAGCGCGCGUAGGCGGUUUUUUAAGUCUGAUGUGAAAGCCCACGGCUCAACCGUGGAGGGUCAUUGGAAACUGGAAAACUUGAGUGCAGAAGAGGAAAGUGGAAUUCCAUGUGUAGCGGUGAAAUGCGCAGAGAUAUGGAGGAACACCAGUGGCGAAGGCGACUUUCUGGUCUGUAACUGACGCUGAUGUGCGAAAGCGUGGGGAUCAAACAGGAUUAGAUACCCUGGUAGUCCACGCCGUAAACGAUGAGUGCUAAGUGUUAGGGGGUUUCCGCCCCUUAGUGCUGCAGCUAACGCAUUAAGCACUCCGCCUGGGGAGUACGACCGCAAGGUUGAAACUCAAGGAAUUGACGGGGACCCGCA
rnacentral:rRNA from 1 species